rnacentral:rRNA from 1 species
UACAGAGGGGGCAAGCGUUGUUCGGAAUUACUGGGCGUAAAGGGCGCGUAGGCGGCCUUCUAAGUCAGACGUGAAAUCCCUCGGCUCAACCGGGGAACUGCGUCUGAGACUGGAAGGCUUGAAUCCGGGAGAGGGAUGUGGAAUUCCAGGUGUAGCGGUGAAAUGCGUAGAUAUCUGGAGGAACACCAAUGGCGAAGGCAGAUCUCUGGGCCGUAACUGACGCUGAGGAGCGAAAGCAUGGGGAGCGAACAGG